rnacentral:lncRNA from 1 species
CUGACAACCUUGUGCCCUGGGCCAAUAAUCUCUGUCUGUCUCUCUCUGACCUCUUUCUCUUGUGUUCUUUACACCAUCUAUCUCUGUCUCUCUCUCUGUUCUCUCUUUCUCUCUCGCUCUCUCCACCUCUCUCGUGUUCUCUACCCCAUCUAUAUCUCUCUUUGUCUCUCUCACUCUCUCCACCCCCUCUCUCCAUCUCCCUCCCCCUCUCUUGUUUUCUCUACCCCAUCUAUCUCUCUCUUUGUCUCUCUCACUCUCUCCACCCCCUCUCUCUAUCUCCCUCCCCUCUCUUGUUUUCUCUACCCCAUCUAUCUCUCUCUUUGUCUCUCUCACUCUCCACCCCCUCUCUCCAUCUCCCUCCCCCUCUUGUUUUCUCUACCCCAUCUAUAUCUCUCUUUGUCUCUCUCACUCUCUCCACCCCCUCUCUCCAUCUCCCUCCCCCUCUCUUGUUUUCUCUACCCCAUCUAUCUCUCUCUUUGUCUCUCUCACUCUCUCCACCCCCUCUCUCUAUCUCCCUCCCCUCUCUUGUUUUCUCUACCCCAUCUAUCUCUCUCUUUGUCUCUCUCACUCUCUCCACCCCCUCUCCAUCUCCCUCCCCCUCUCUUGUUUUCUCUACCCCAUCUAUCUCUCUCUUUGUCUCUCUCACUCUCUCCACCCCCUCUCUCCAUCUCCCUCCCCCUCUCUUGUUUUCUCUACCCCAUCUAUCUCUCUCUUUGUCUCUCUCACUCUCUCCACCCCCUCUCUCCAUCUCCCUCCCCCUCUCUUGUUUUCUCUACCCCAUCUAUCUCUCUCUUGGCUGUUUUCAUCCUACUUCAUCUGUUCUGCUUCUCUACCAUGUCACUCCAGUCUACCUCUGAACCAUUCCGUAUCUAUAGGAUAUACUGCUUGUCUGUACUGACCUGGACUGAUCAUUACCCUGUUAGAGGGUUGAUCAGGAAGAUGUCUGGACUGACCUGGACUGAUCAUUACCCUGUUAGAGGGUUGAUCAGGAAGAUGUCUGUACUGACCUGGACUGAUCAUUACCCUGUUAGAGGGUUGAUCAGGAAGAUGUCUGUACUGACCUGGACUGAUCAUUACCCUGUUAGAGGGUUGAUCAGGAAGAUGUCUGGACUGACCUGGACUGAUCAUUACCCUGUUAGAGGGUUGAUCAGGAAGAUGUCUGUACUGACCUGGACUGAUCAUUACCCUGUUAGAGGGUUGAUCAGGAAGAUGGGAGAGAUUACGGAUGAGUGGACAGAAUGGGUGGAUAAAUAUCAUUUUCAGGAUGAAAAUGAUAUUUAUCUGUAG